AAUGAACGCUGGCGGCAUGCCUAACACAUGCAAGUCGAACGAAGGCUUCGGCCUUAGUGGCGCACGGGUGCGUAACGCGUGGGAAUCUGCCCUUGGGUUCGGAAUAACAGUUAGAAAUGACUGCUAAUACCGGAUGAUGUCGUAAGACCAAAGAUUUAUCGCCCAAGGAUGAGCCCGCGUAGGAUUAGCUAGUUGGUGGGGUAAAGGCCUACCAAGGCGACGAUCCUUAGCUGGUCUGAGAGGAUGAUCAGCCACACUGGGACUGAGACACGGCCCAGACUCCUACGGGAGGCAGCAGUGGGGAAUAUUGGACAAUGGGCGAAAGCCUGAUCCAGCAAUGCCGCGUGAGUGAUGAAGGCCUUAGGGUUGUAAAGCUCUUUUACACGGGAUGAUAAUGACAGUACCGGGAGAAUAAGCUCCGGCUAACUUCGUG
rnacentral:rRNA from 1 species